AACAUCACGUUGAAACACCGUUUUCCCUACGAUCACAGAAGUUAAGCAACAUCGAGCCUGGUCAGUACCUAGAUGGGUGACCACUUGGGAAUACCAGAUGCUGUAAU